AUUGAACGCUGGCGGCAGGCCUAACACAUGCAAGUCGGACGAGUGGCGGACGGGUGAGUAAUAUAUGGGGAACUGCCCGAUGGCGGGGGAUAACUACUGGAAACGGUAGCUAAUACCGCAUACCAUCAGCUUGACCCAUAUGGGAUUAGCUAGUAGGUGGGGUAAAGGCUCACCUAGGCGAAGGUCCCUAGCUGGUCUGAGAGGAUGAACAGCCACACUGGGACUGAGACACGGCCCAGACUCCUACGGGAGGCAGCAGUGGGGAAUAUUGCACAAUGGGCGCAAGCCUGAUGCAGCCAUGCCGCGUGUAUGAAGAAGGCCUUCGGGUUGUAAAGUACGUUCAGUCGGGAGGCGUUACCGACAGAAGAAGCACCGGCUAACUCCGUGCCAGCAGCCGCGGUAAUAC
rnacentral:rRNA from 1 species